CUACGGGUUGCAGCAGUGGGGAAUAUUGGACAAUGGGGGAAACCCUGAUCCAGCAAUGCCGCGUGUGUGAAGAGGGCCUGCGGGUUGUAAAGCACUUUCGGUUGGGAGGACUGCUUCUAGCACUAAUAUUGUUGGAAGUUGACGUUACCUUCAGAAGAAGCACCGGCUAACUCCGUGCCAGCAGCCGCGGUGAAUACGGAGGGUGCAAGCGUUAAUCGGAAUUACUGGGCGUAAAGCGCGCGUAGGCGGCUAGAUCAGUCGGGUGUGAAAGCCCCGGGCUUAACCUGGGAACUGCAUCCGAUACUGUCUAGCUUGAGUACAGGAGAGGAGAGUGGAAUUCCACAUGUAGCGGUGAAAUGCGUAGAUAUGUGGAGGAACACCAAUGGCGAAGGCAGCUCUCUGGCCUGAUACUGACGCUGAGGUGCGAAAGCGUGGGGAGCAAACAGGAUUAGAUACCCCCGUAGUC
rnacentral:rRNA from 1 species